rnacentral:rRNA from 1 species
GACGAACGCUGGCGGCGUGCUUAACACAUGCAAGUCGAACGGAAAGGCCCUGCUUGCAGGGUACUCGAGUGGCGAACGGGUGAGUAACACGUGGGUGAUCUGCCCUGCACUUCGGGAUAAGCCUGGGAAACUGGGUCUAAUACCGGAUAGGAGCCAUUUUUAGUGUGAUGGUUGGAAAGUUUUUUCGGUGUAGGAUGAGCUCGCGGCCUAUCAGCUUGUUGGUGGGGUAAUGGCCUACCAAGGCGGCGACGGGUAGCCGGCCUGAGAGGGUGGACGGCCACAUUGGGACUGAGAGACGGCCCAGACUCCUACGGGAGGCAGCAGUGGGGAAUAUUGCACAAUGGGCGCAAGCCUGAUGCAGCGAAGCCGCGUGGGGGAUGACGGCCUUCGGGUUGUAAACUCCUUUCGCUAGGGACGAAGCUUUUUGUGACGGUACCUAGAUAAGAAGCACCGGCUAACUACGUG